AAUUCUCAACCCUCUUCCCUUUUUUGGUGAAGCUAGGGCUUGGACUUGGAGGCUUUGCCGGCUCUGCUCGGCUCCUCUCAAAUGCAUUAGUGCGUCUUGUUGCGACGUGCGCCUCGGUGUGAUAAUUAUCUACGCUGUGGUUCGCUUGCUUCUGUGGAGAUGCGCUUUCAAACCGUCCGAAAGGACAACUUUCAUCGAA
rnacentral:misc_RNA from 1 species